UGGGGAAUUUUGGACAAUGGGGGAAACCCUGAUCCAGCAACGCUGCGUGAAGGACGAAGGUCUUCGGAUUGUAAACUUCUUUUGUUCGGGACGAAUGCCCGCAAGGGUUUGACGGUACCGGAUGAAUAAGCCACGGCUAACUACGUGCCAGCAGCCGCGGUAAGACGUAGGUGGCGAGCGUUACUCGGAAUCACUAGGCGUAAAGCGCGUGUAGGCGGGUGCUUAAGUCCGCUGUGAAAUCUCCCGGCUCAACUGGGAGGGGUCAGCGGAUACUGGGCGUCUGGAGUGGGGCAGGGGUCACUGGAAUUCCAGGUGUAGCGGUGAAAUGCGUAGAUAUCUGGAGGAACACCAAUGGCGAAGGCAGGUGACUGGGCCUUUACUGACGCUAAGACGCGAAAGCUAGGGGAGCAAACAGGAUUAGAUACCCCCGUAGUCC
rnacentral:rRNA from 1 species